rnacentral:lncRNA from 1 species
GCAAAAUACCCCAAGUCAGUUCACCGUAUGACAGAACUGGCGACUCUGCUGGGGAUACUUUAAAAAGAGAGGUUACCUUAAAAACAAGAUCACUUAUUUAAAAUUGUCUGAUUUACUUUUAAGGGAUUGCUUGGGUAUUCUUGAGUGAAAGAUCCUACACCCGGAUCUAGUGUACCUUAGGUAAGUAGCAAUAGAUCAUCGCGACUAUCCGGCGUAUACUGGAAUGGUUAAAAUGAUGGCUACGGUUAAUGUGACACUUUGGAUGUCCUGAUGUUCCUCAUGUUUACUUGAGGAAAAAUUUGGCUUCCGCGUGGUGUCAUCAAAGCAUUAACCAGACCUUUAGAACCCUAAUUGACUCAUCCUGGCCAUUAGAAAGUAGUGAGAUAACUGACUUCGGUUCCGACUGGGGUUGGUUGAGACUCGAUACUACACUCUUUGAGAUUGGACUUUAGGGAAGCUUCGGUCAACCACUUGGUGUUGCACUGAAGUGGACUUAAAGGAAGGUCGGUGAUUUGAGAUCCUUCUAGAACCCGGUUACUAUUCUAGGACAGGUUGAACCAACUAAACUUCAGUGGGGAGGGUACUUACCUAUGGAACUCAUGCAAGCCUUAAAACC